AUUGAACGCUGGCGGCAUGCCUUACACAUGCAAGUCGAACGGCAGCACGGGAGCAAUCCUGGUGGCGAGUGGCGAACGGGUGAGUAAUAUAUCGGAACGUGCCCAGUCGUGGGGAUAACGUAGCGAAAGCUACGCUAAUACCGCAUACGAUCUAUGGAUGAAAGCGGGGGAUCGCAAGACCUCGCGCGAUUGGAGCGGCCGAUAUCAGAUUAGGUAGUUGGUGAGGUAAAGGCUCACCAAGCCGACGAUCUGUAGCUGGUCUGAGAGGACGACCAGCCACACUGGGACUGAGACACGGCCCAGACUCCUACGGGAGGCAGCAGUGGGGAAUUUUGGGACAAUGGGCGCAAGCCUGAUCCAGCAAUGCCGCGUGCAGGAUGAAGGCCUUC
rnacentral:rRNA from 1 species